CCGGCUCAGGACGAACGCUGGCGGCGUGCCUAAUACAUGCAAGUCGAACGAACUCUGGUAUUGAUUGGUGCUUGCAUCAUGAUUUACAUUUGAGUGAGUGGCGAACUGGUGAGUAACACGUGGGAAACCUGCCCAGAAGCGGGGGAUAACACCUGGAAACAGAUGCUAAUACCGCAUAACAACUUGGACCGCAUGGUCCGAGUUUGAAAGAUGGCUUCGGCUAUCACUUUUGGAUGGUCCCGCGGCGUAUUAGCUAGAUGGUGAGGUAACGGCUCACCAUGGCAAUGAUACGUAGCCGACCUGAGAGGGUAAUCGGCCACAUUGGGACUGAGACACGGCCCAAACUCCUACGGGAGGCAGCAGUAGGGAAUCUUCCACAAUGGACGAAAGUCUGAUGGAGCAACGCCGCGUGAGUGAAGAAGGGUUUCGGCUCGUAAAACUCUGUUGUUUAAGAAGAACAUAUCUGAGAGUAACUGUUCAGGUAUUGACGGUAUUUAACCAGAAAGUCACGGCUAACUACGUGCCAGCAGCCGCGGUAAUACGUAGGUGGCAAGCGUUGUCCGGAUUUAUUGGGCGUAAAGCGAGCGCAGGCGGUUUUUUAAGUCUGAUGUGAAAGCCUUCGGCUCAACCGAAGAAGUGCAUCGGAAACUGGGAAACUUGAGUGCAGAAGAGGACAGUGGAACUCCAUGUGUAGCGGUGAAAUGCGUAGAUAUAUGGAAGAACACCAGUGGCGAAGGCGGCUGUCUGGUCUGUAACUGACGCUGAGGCUCGAAAGUAUGGGUAGCAAACAGGAUUAGAUACCCUGGUAGUCCAUACCGUAAACGAUGAAUGCUAAGUGUUGGAGGGUUUCCGCCCUUCAGUGCUGCAGCUAACGCAUUAAGCAUUCCGCCUGGGGAGUACGGCUGCAAGGCUGAAACUCAAAGGAAUUGACGGGGGCCCGCACAGGCGGUGGAGCAUGUGGUUUAAUUCGAAGCUACGCGAAGAACCUUACCAGGUCUUGACAUACUAUGCAAAUCUAAGAGAUUAGACGUUCCCUUCGGGGACAUGGAUACAGGUGGUGCAUGGUUGUCGUCAGCUCGUGUCGUGAGAUGUUGGGUUAAGUCCCGCAACGAGCGCAACCCUUAUUAUCAGUUGCCAGCAUUAAGUUGGGCACUCUGGUGAGACUGCCGGUGACAAACCGGAGGAAGGUGGGGAUGACGUCAAAUCAUCAUGCCCCUUAUGACCUGGGCUACACACGUGCUACAAUGGAUGGUACAACGAGUUGCGAACUCACGAGAGUAAGCUAAUCUCUUAAAGCCAUUCUCAGUUCGGAUUGUAGGCUGCAACUCGCCUACAUGAAGUCGGAAUCGCUAGUAAUCGCGGAUCAGCAUGCCGCGGUGAAUACGUUCCCGGGCCUUGUACACACCGCCCGUCACACCAUGAGAGUUUGUAACACCCAAAGUCGGUGGGGUAACCUUUUAGGAACCAGCCGCCUAAGGUGGGACAGAUGAUUAGGGUG
rnacentral:rRNA from 1 species